GGUUAAGCGACUAAGCGUACACGGUGGAUGCCCUGGCAGUCAGAGGCGAUGAAGGGCGUGCUAAUCUGCGAUAAGCGCCGGUAAGGUGAUAUGAACCGUUAUAACCGGCGAUACCCGAAUGGGGAAACCCAGUGUGACUCGUCACACUAUCAUUAACUGAAUCCAUAGGUUAAUGAGGCGAACCGGGGGAACUGAAACAUCUAAGUACCCCGAGGAAAAGAAAUCAACCGAGAUUCCCCCAGUAGCGGCGAGCGAACGGGGAGGAGCCCAGAGCCUGAAUCAGCAUGUGUGUUAGUGGAAGCGUCUGGAAAGGCGCGCGAUACAGGGUGACAGCCCCGUACACAAAAGCGCAUGUGCUGUGAGCUCGAUGAGUAGGGCGGGACACGUGGUAUCCUGUCUGAAUAUGGGGGGACCAUCCUCCAAGGCUAAAUACUCCUGACUGACCGAUAGUGAACCAGUACCGUGAGGGAAAGGCGAAAAGAACCCCGGCGAGGGGAGUGAAAAAGAACCUGAAACCGUGUACGUACAAGCAGUGGGAGCACCCUUUUGGGUGUGACUGCGUACCUUUUGUAUAAUGGGUCAGCGACUUAUAUUCUGUAGCAAGGUUAACCGUAUAGGGGAGCCGGAGGGAAACCGAGUCUUAACCGGGCGUUAAGUUGCAGGGUAUAGACCCGAAACCCGGUGAUCUAGCCAUGGGCAGGUUGAAGGUUGGGUAACACUAACUGGAGGACCGAACCGACUAAUGUUGAAAAAUUAGCGGAUGACCUGUGGCUGGGGGUGAAAGGCCAAUCAAACCGGGAGAUAGCUGGUUCUCCCCGAAAGCUAUUUAGGUAGCGCCUCGUGAAUUCAUCUCCGGGGGUAGAGCACUGUUUCGGCUAGGGGGUCAUCCCGACUUACCAACCCGAUGCAAACUGCGAAUACCGGAGAAUGUUAUCACGGGAGACACACGGCGGGUGCUAACGUCCGUCGUGAAGAGGGAAACAACCCAGACCGCCAGCUAAGGUCCCAAAGUCAUGGUUAAGUGGGAAACGAUGUGGGAAGGCCCAGACAGCCAGGAUGUUGGCUUAGAAGCAGCCAUCAUUUAAAGAAAGCGUAAUAGCUCACUGGUCGAGUCGGCCUGCGCGGAAGAUGUAACGGGGCUAAACCAUGCACCGAAGCUGCGGCAGCGA
rnacentral:rRNA from 1 species